CUGUUUCAACCCCUGGUUUUGCCACUUUCUAGCUGGCUGAACUAGAGCAAGUGCAUGUCCAUCUGCACUAAGAAGCAAGGAACAAGGAGACUGUGCCUGGCAUCCUGGAAUGAGUCCCUCCGGAGGCAGGAUCCCCACGCCCAGCACAUACCCCGCAAGGGUUAAUCAGCCUUCCUGCCGGGCGGCUGGGCGGCUGGAAGGAGGCAGCAGGGCGGCCUGGCGGCAGGAGGCUUUCAUUACUUUGAUGGGAUCCAUGUGCUCGGCUUUAUCUCCGGCCCUUUCUCCGUAAUUCAGCGCUUGAACGUCUCAGCUGUCGGCCAGAUCUGCAGACAAUUGCUCGGGAGUUAGGAAGAUUGGCAAAGAGAAAGUGGAGGGGAACGUGCCCAUACCCUGGGAUCUGCGGGUUCACCGGCCCCUCUGCUCCCGCCCUCACCGGCUCUGCAGGGGCGUCUCCAGGACCGGGGGGCACCCGGGCUGCCUGGGUGCCCGUGGAGUGGGCGUGGCGCAGGGCUUCCUGGGAGGAAGGCCGUGGGACCCUGGGAAACCACAUCGCCACUCAUAACCUCAGUUGCUCACCACCUGUGAUGGCCCUGCACGAUGUCAGGCACACACAUCUCAGGACCCACCAGUUCAGAAUCCGUGUACACAAACGCUUGUAAAUGUGCCCUCGGAUAAUAGAUUUCAGCUCUCAGGGUCUGUGGCUGCCUGUUGGCCCCUCUCAAGAAACGCUGCCGUGUAGGGCUGUUUCAAGUGACCAGAGACAGUGAGGAUCAGAGCACUUUGUACCUGGACAAACGCCCUCCUUCUCCCCUCCCCCAUGCUUUGGGGGGGGGUCUGUUCUCAGUUUCCGGCCUGCACCUGCCUAGUCUGUGGUCCUUCUCCAAGAACCCAGAGAUGAGAUAGUCCGGCGUAAACACCGCCAACUCUGGCCCAGCAGAGAGGUUUGAACUGAGCCCUUCCGGAGUCAAAGGACAAAUAACGCCGUCUGAGUGAGGAUCCGCCCAGACUUGCUGACAGAGCACCGGUGUCAUUAGAGAAGAGCAUGGAAACGCCAAGGCUCGUCUCCAAUGGGCUGAAGCGAGCGCUGUGCUCACCAGCGUGAGCACAAGUCGUGCCCUCCGUCUCCGGGUCUUCCGAGGUACCAGGGACUUGGGCUUUGUCACUAGGCCAUUUUCUGCCAGCCGCCAUCCACGGAUAAGCUAAUGACAGCUCCCUGGAUGUGUCCUCCAGCGCAGGCCCCCAAGCCACCCAGACACCAGACACCGGCCUCAGCGUCCUCCUCAGCCCCGAGCCAGACCUGCCCUCACCAGCCGUCGCCUGUGGGGCCGUGCGGGGACCCUUUCUGCACACACGUGGCACCUGACAGAGCAUCCUCAGUUCACAUUAAGCAUGACAGCGAGACAUC